rnacentral:tRNA from 1 species
AGGGAAAUAGCUCAGUUGGUUAGAGUGCUGGUCUGUCACGCCAGAAGUCGCGGGUUCGAACCCCGUUUUCCCCG